UACGUAGGGGGCAAGCGUUGUCCGGAUUUAUUGGGCGUAAAGAGCGUGUAGGCGGCCUGACAGGUCUGCUGUGAAAACUCGAGGCUCAACCUCGAGAUGUCGGCGGAAACCGUCUGGCUAGAGUCCGGAAGAGGAGAGUGGAAUUCCUGGCGUAGCGGUGAAAUGCGCAGAUAUCAGGAAGAACACCGAUGGCGAAGGCAGCUCUCUGGGACGGUACUGACGCUGAGACGCGAAAGCGUGGGGAGCGAACAGG
rnacentral:rRNA from 1 species